GCCCGAAUAGCUCAGUCGGUAGAGCAAUCGGCUGUUAACCGAUUUGUCACAGGUUCGAGUCCUGUUUCGGGCGCCA
rnacentral:tRNA from 2 species